rnacentral:rRNA from 1 species
UGGGGAAUAUUGGACAAUGGGCGGAAGCCUGAUACAGCCAUGCCGCGUGUGUGAAGAAGGCCUUUUGGUUGUAAAGCACUUUAAGCGAGGAGGAGGCUACUUGGAUUAAUACUCUAGGAUUGUGGACGUUACUCGCAGAAUAAGCACCGGCUAACUCUGUGCCAGCAGCCGAGGUAAUACAGAGGGUGCGAGCGUUAAUCGGAUUUACUGGGCGUAAAGCGUGCGUAGGCGGCUUCUUAAGUCGGAUGUGAAAUCCCUGAGCUUAACUUAGGAAUUGCAUUCGAUACUGGGAAGCUAGAGUAUGGGAGAGGAUGGUAGAAUUCCAGGUGUAGCGGUGAAAUGCGUAGAGAUCUGGAGGAAUACCGAUGGCGAAGGCAGCCAUCUGGCCUAAUACUGACGCUGAGGUACGAAAGCAUGGGGAGCAAACAGG